GAAGAUAAGUUAAAUGAUGAGAGUUAGUUGGGUUCACAUCUCUUUACAUCAUCCUUUAUUCAGGUGAGGUGCAGGUACAGAUUCAGUGAUGUUUGCAUUCUGCAUUAACAGAUGAACAUUGUAUUUUUGAUAACAUUUCUUGACAGGCACGCUGUAGUGUAUCAUUUGUGUUUGCUCACACUCUGAGUUUCUUUCAAUCACUAAGGGUGUUCCACAAGGUUCAAUCUUAGGCCCAGCCCUUUUUACAAUUUUUUAUUAAUAAAAUGAUUCCAUUAUUAUCUAGCGACCAUUCACAUGCUCACUUAUGUGCAGAUGAUACAAUAUUGUACUGUAUUGCUAAUUCUGCUCAGCUUGCCAUGGAGAACCUGCAACAUUCCUUUAAUGUUCUCCAAGUUGCACUUAGCAAUAUUAAAUUGGUUUUAAAUGUUCAGAAAACUAAAUGCAUAUGAGUUAAAGACUAUAAAUAUCUCGGUAUAUGGAUAGAUGACAGACUAACAUUCAAACUUCACAUUGAUAAUCUUACUGUCAAAUUACGACAAAAGAUUGGUUACCUAGAAAUAAAUCAAAUGUCCCUAUGUUCUGUCGGAAAAGGAUAAUUGAAGCAGUAUUUCUCUCAGUUUUGGAUUAUGGUGAUGUGGUCUAUAGGCAUCACCACGGCAUUCUACAUGAUAAAGUUGGUUGGCCCUCCCUCACUGAGAGACGCAAUAACCACUGGCAUCUUUUUAUCUAUAAAGCCCUUACCGGAAAGCUUCCAUCAUAUAUCACCUCAUUGUUACAUCUGAACCCUGGUCCAUUUUAACCCGCUCGA